rnacentral:rRNA from 1 species
UACGUAGGGGCAAGCGUUAUCCGGAUUUACUGGGUGUAAAGGGAGCGCAGACGGAACUGCAAGUCUGAUGUGAAAGCCCGGGGCUCAACCGCGGGACUGCAUUGGAAACUGUACAGCUUGAGUGUCGGAGAGGUAAGCGGAAUUCCUAGUGUAGCGGUGAAAUGCGUAGAUAUUAGGAGGAACACCGGUGGCGAAGGCGGCUUACUGGACGAUGACUGACGUUGAGGCUCGAAAGCGUGGGGAGCGAACAGGAUUAGAUACCCUGGUAGU